UAAGAGUAUUGAUCCUGGCUCAGGAUGAACGCUGGCGGUAUGCUUAACACAUGUCAAGUCGAACGGUCUCUUACGGAGAUAGUGGCGGACGGGUGAGUAACGCGUGAGAAUMUAGCUCUAGGUUUGGGACAACCWCUGGAAACGGUGGCUAAUACCGGAUAUGCCGAAAGGUGAAAGGUUAACUGCCUGGAGAUGAGCUCGCGUCUGAUUAGCUAGUUGGUAGGGUAAAAGCUUACCAAGGCGACGAUCAGUAGCUGGUCUGAGAGGACGAUCAGCCACACUGGGACURAGACACGGCCCAGACUCCUACGGGAGGCAGCAGUGGGGGAAUUUUCCGCAAUGGGCGAAAGCCUGACGGAGCAAUACCGCGUGAGGGAGGAAGGCUCUUGGGUUGUAAACCUCUUUUCUCAGGGAAGAAAAAUGACGGUACUUGAGGAAUAAGCAUCGGCUAACUCCGUGCCAGCC
rnacentral:rRNA from 1 species